GAUGAAGAACGUAGCGAAAUGCGAUAAGUAAUGUGAAUUGCAGAAUUCAGUGAAUCAUCGGAUCUUUGAACGCACAUUGCGCCCCCUGGUAUUCCGGGGGGCAUGCCUGUUCGAGCGUCAUUUCACCACUCAAGCCUCGCUUGGUAUUGGGCAACGCGGUCCGCCGCGUGCCUCAAAUCGACCGGCUGGGUCUUCUGUCCCCUAAGCGUUGUGGAAACUAUUCGCUAAAGGGUGCUCGGGAGGCUACGCCGUAAAACAAACCCAUUUCUAAGGUUGACCUCGGAUCAGGUAGGGAUACCCGCUGAACUUAAGCAUAUCAAUAAGCGGAGGA
rnacentral:misc_RNA from 1 species